GACGAACGCUGGCGGCGUGCUUAACACAUGCAAGUCGAACGGAAAGGCCCUGCUUUUGUGGGGUGCUCGAGUGGCGAACGGGUGAGUAACACGUGAGUAACCUGCCCUUGACUUUGGGAUAACUUCAGGAAACUGGGGCUAAUACCGGAUAGGAGCUCCUGCUGCAUGGUGGGGGUUGGAAAGUUUCGGCGGUUGGGGAUGGACUCGCGGCUUAUCAGCUUGUUGGUGGGGUAGUGGCUUACCAAGGCUUUGACGGGUAGCCGGCCUGAGAGGGGGACCGGCCACAUUGGGACUGAGAUACGGCCCAGACGCCUACGGGAGGCAGCAGUGGGGAAUAUUGCACAAUGGGCGGAAGCCUGAUGCAGCAACGCCGCGUGCGGGAUGACGGCCUUCGGGUUGUAAACCGCUUUCGCCUGUGACGAAGCGUGAGUGACGGUAAUGGGUAAAGAAGCACCGGCUAACUACGUG
rnacentral:rRNA from 1 species